UACGAAGGGGGCUAGCGUUGCUCGGAAUCACUGGGGGUAAGGGGCGCGUAGGCGGCCUUUUAAGUCGGGGGUGAAAGCCCAGGGCUCAACCCUGGAAUUGCCUUCGAUACUGGGAGUCUUGAGUUCGGAAGAGGUUGGUGGAACUGCGAGUGUAGAGGUGAAAUUCGUAGAUAUUCGCAAGAACACCGGUGGCGAAGGCGGCCAACUGGUCCGAAACUGACGCUGAGGCGCGAAAGCGUGGGGAGCAAACAGG
rnacentral:rRNA from 1 species